rnacentral:tRNA from 1 species
GGAUCCGUGGUGCAAUUGUAGCACAUAUAUAUCCAGAUCAGAAGGUUUCGUGUUCGAUUCACGUUGGGUUCA